AGAGGAGAAGAACAAAAGAGCUGAAAAGGAAGGAUACGAUGAUUUGUCACCGAGCGUCGUUGCAGUUUUUGCAACCUCGUACUUGAGAGAUGGUGUGAGAGAAAAGCACAUCACCUGCCAGACAGCAAUUGUUGUCAGCUGUUUGACGCCUACAGAAUGCAGCACAACUGGACUAAGCGAAAGCGCCUGACAUCUGAAACAGCGGCAUUAUCUAACACACCUGCAGGGUCACACUCUGUUCAUAAGAGAAAAAAAAUCCUGCAGACAGCACCCUCUUUGGAUCGCCAUCCAGACCUCACCUGGAAGGAAUCCUCGCCGUGCUUCAGGUCACGAAGUUCUUUUUACUACCUGAGCAAGAACAAACGUACCAGACUAAUAAACGUUUAUGGAUAUUGAUAAAAUAGGUGUCUAAA